UACGGAGGGGCUAGCGUUGUUCGGAAUUACUGGGCGUAAAGCGCGCGUAGGCGGACCUGCAAGUCGGGGGUGAAAGCCCGAGGCUCAACCUCGGAACUGCCUUCGAUACUGCGGGUCUCGAGUCCGGGAGAGGUGAGUGGAAUUCCGAGUGUAGAGGUGAAAUUCGUAGAUAUUCGGAAGAACACCAGUGGCGAAGGCGGCUCACUGGACCGGCAUUGACGCUGAGGUGCGAAAGCGUGGGGAGCAAACAGG
rnacentral:rRNA from 1 species